rnacentral:rRNA from 1 species
GACGUAGGGCGCGAGCGUUGUCCGGAUUUAUUGGGCGUAAAGAGCUCGUAGGCGGCUUGUCGCGUCGUCCGUGAAAACCUGCGGCUCAACUGCAGGCUGGCGGUCGAUACGGGCAGACUAGAGUUCGGCAGGGGGAGACUGGAAUUCCUGGUGUAGCGGUGAAAUGCGCAGAUAUCAGGAGGAACACCGGUGGCGAAGGCGGGUCUCUGGGCCGUAACUGACGCUGAGGAGCGAAAGCGUGGGGAGCGAACAGG